GAAGUAUAUAAACUUACAAUUCCAAUUGAUUAUAGUCGAAUUUCGACAACUGGGGGCCUCUAGUAAUAUCUAAUGAACGAAGUAUUUCUAAUAACGUUUGGCAUUUUACUAUGGACUGUCCAAAAUUAUAUAUAUAGCUUUUUUCUAUUUUUUACUAACGCUAUCUGUUAAUUAUUACUAUUAACCGCAUUAUCUAUGAUUCUCACCCUAUCAUAUUAUCACAUUGGAUCUGAGAUUCGAGACACGGUUUGACUAACGACACUUACACGAGAAUAAGAAAAUCUCGCUGAAGAAAAAAAAAAUACGGUCUCUAGUUUAUGAAUAUAACGUGUUAUUCCCAACGGUCGCAUUGUCGUGGUUGAGUUCACACGAACUGACACGAACCUCGUUUUCUUUAUUUCGAGCGAUGGUGGCUUCCGCUUGCAUGAGACUGAUUGUCUCAGACCUCCUUUGCCACUGAGUGACCCCAUCAUGUCACGGUGCGUGGAACAAAACCACAAUAAUGACAAAAAAUUACAGAUGUUCGCGAAAAUCAUUAAUUAAACAAACUGGUAAUAUUGCUUUUAAAAUCAAUGUUUAAACAGUAAAAUUUAAAGGUUUAUGCUAAAAAUGAUGAGAGGAGAAAAGGCUAUUGAAUGCUUGAAAUAAAUAACGCUACAGUUUCAUUGAAGUCACACAACAAAAUCCUAUACUGUAACAGUUUUAAUUUGUUAAUAAAAAACAAAUUCGUUUGUUCAUGAUUUCGAAGCUUUUGUUUCCAAAAUAAAGACAAUAUUUAAACACCGUUACGAAACUGCUAAAAUAAUAAAACAAUUAUUCAUCAAAUUAAAAGGUUAAAAACAUUGUUAAAUGAAUAAAGAAAACUGAAAUACA